GAUGAACGCUGGCGGCGUGCCUAAUACAUGCAAGUCGAGCGAAUGGAUUAAGAGCUUGCUCUUAUGAAGUUAGCGGCGGACGGGUGAGUAACACGUGGGUAACCUGCCCAUAAGACUGGGAUAACUACGGGAAACCGGGGCUAAUACCGGAUAACAUUUUGAACCGCAUGGUUCGAAAUUGAAAGGCGGCUUCGGCUGUCACUUAUGGAUGGACCCGGGUCGCAUUAGCUAGGUAGUGAGGUAACGGCUCACCAAGGCAACGAUGCGUAGCCGACCUGGGAGGGUGAUCGGCCACACUGGGACUGAGACACGGCCCAGACUCCUACGGGAGGCAGCAGUAGGGAAUCUUCCGCAAUGGACGAAAGUCUGACGGAGCAACGCCGCGUGGGUGAUGAAGGCUUUCGGGUCGUAAAACUCUGUUGUUAGGGAAGAACAAGUGCUAGUUGAAUAAGCUGGCACCUUGACGGUACCUAACCAGAAAGCCACGGCUAACUACGUGCCAGCAGCCGCCGUAA
rnacentral:rRNA from 1 species